rnacentral:rRNA from 1 species
UACGUAGGUGGCAAGCGUUGUCCGGAUUUACUGGGCGUAAAGAGCGCGCAGGCGGCUGGGCAAGUCCGAUGUGAAAGCUUCCGGCUUAACUGGAAAAUUGCAUCGGAAACUGCUCGGCUUGAAGGUGGGAGAGGGUAGCGGAAUUCCCGGUGUAGUGGUGAAAUGCGUAGAUAUCUGGAGGAACACCGGUGGCGAAGGCGACAUCCUGGACCGGUAUUGACGCUGAGGCGCGAAAGCCAGGGGAGCAAACGGG